GACUCUCGGCAACGGAUAUCUCGGCUCUCGCAUCGAUGAAGAACGUAGCGAAAUGCGAUACUUGGUGUGAAUUGCAGAAUCCCGCGAAUCAUCGAGUCUUUGAACGCAAGUUGCGCCCAAAGCCAUUAGGCCGAGGGCACGUCUGCCUGGGCGUCACGCA
rnacentral:rRNA from 1 species